GACAGAGGGUGCGAACGUUGUUCGGAAUUACUGGGCGUAAAGCGCGUGUAGGCGGCCAGGUAGGUCUGCUGUGAAAACUCGAGGCUCAACCUCGAGAUGUCGGCGGAAACCAUCUGGCUAGAGUCCGGAAGAGGAGAAUGGAAUUCCCGGUGUAGCGGUGAAAUGCGCAGAUAUCGGGAAGAACACCCGUGGCGAAGGCGGUUCUCUGGGACGGUACUGACGCUGAGACGCGAAAGCGUGGGGAGCGAACAGG
rnacentral:rRNA from 1 species